rnacentral:rRNA from 1 species
UACAGAGGUCCCAAGCGUUGUUCGGAUUCACUGGGCGUAAAGGGUGCGUAGGCGGUUGGGUAAGUCUGACGUGAAAUCUCCGGGCCUAACCCGGAAACUGCGUCGGAUACUAUCCUGCUAGAGGAUUGGAAGGGAGACUGGAAUACUUGGUGUAGCAGUGAAAUGCGUAGAUAUCAAGUGGAACACCAGUGGCGAAGGCGAGUCCCUGGACAACUCCUGACACUGAGGCACGAAAGCUAGGGGAGCAAACAGG